rnacentral:rRNA from 1 species
GAUGAACGCUAGCGGCAGGCUUAAUACAUGCAAGUCGUGGGGCAGCAUGAGUAGCAAUACUUGAUGGCGACCGGCAAACGGGUGCGGAACACGUACACAACCUUCCGAUAAGUGGGGAAUAGCCCAGAGAAAUUUGGAUUAAUACCCCGUAACAUAUAGAGUAGGCAUCUUCUUUAUAUUAUAGCUUCGGCGCUUAUUGAUGGGUGUGCGUCUGAUUAGGUAGUUGGCGGGGUAACGGCCCACCAAGCCUACGAUCAGUAGCUGAUGUGAGAGCAUGAUCAGCCACACGGGCACUGAGUCACGGGCCCGACUCCUACGGGAGGCAGCAGUAAGGAAUAUUGGACAAUGGGCGAAAGCCUGAUCCAGCCAUGCCGCGUGAAGGAUUAAGGUCCUCUGGAUUGUAAACUUCUUUUAUUUGUGACGAAAAAAGGGAAUUCUUUCCCACUUGACGGUACCAAGUGAAUAAGCACCGGCUAACUCCGUGCCAGCCGCCGCCGUAA